UUGGUCUUAGGAACCAAAAAAUUGGUGCAACUCCAAGUAAAAGUA
rnacentral:tRNA from 1 species